rnacentral:rRNA from 1 species
AGCAGUAGCCGCGGUAAUACGUAGGGUGCGAGCGUUAAUCGGAAUUACUGGGCGUAAGGCGCGCGUAGACGGUUUUGUAAGUCAGAUGUGAAAUCCCUGGGCUCAACCUGGGAACUGCAUUUGAUACUGCAUGGCUAGAGUAUCGAAGAGGGAAGUGGAAUUUCCGGUGUAGCGGUGAAAUGCGUAGAUAUCGGAAGGAACACCAGUGGCGAAAGCGACUUCCUGGUCGAAUACUGACGUUCAUGUGCGAAAGCGUGGGGAGCAAGCAGGAUUAGAUACCCGCGUAGUCCCUGUCUCUUAUAC